UACGUAGGGACCAAGCGUUGUUCGGAUUUACUGGGCGUAAAGGGCGCGUAGGCGGCGUGUUAAGUCACUUGUGAAAUCUCUGAGCUUAACUCAGAACGGUCAAGUGAUACUGAUGUGCUAGAGUGCAGAAGGGGCAACCGGAAUUCUUGGUGUAGCGGUGAAAUGCGUAGAUAUCAAGAGGAACACCUGAGGUGAAGACGGGUUGCUGGGCUGACACUGACGCUGAGGCGCGAAAGCGUGGGGAGCGAACAGG
rnacentral:rRNA from 1 species